rnacentral:rRNA from 1 species
GGGUCAGUAUAGCUGGCCAACUAGAUGCGCCUAUCUGCAUCGCCCAAU